UGGGGAAUUGUUCGCAAUGGGCGCAAGCCUGACGACGCAACGCCGCGUGGAGGAUGAAGGUCUUCGGAUCGUAAACUCCUGUUGAUCGGGACGAAAAGCUUCAACCUAAUACGUUGAAGACUGACGGUACCGGUUGAGGAAGCCACGGCUAACUCUGUGCCAGCAGCCGCGGUAAUACAGAGGUGGCAAGCGUUGUUCGGAAUUACUGGGCGUAAAGGGCGCGUAGGCGGCCUCCUAAGUCGGACGUGAAAGCCCCAGGCUUAACCUGGGAACUGCGUCUGAUACUGGGAGGCUUGGAUUCGGGAGAGGGAUGUGGAAUUCCAGGUGUAGCGGUGAAAUGCGUAGAUAUCUGGAGGAACACCGGUGGCGAAGGCGGCAUCCUGGACCGAGAUCGACGCUGAGGCGCGAAAGCUAGGGGAGCAAACGGGAUUAGAUACCCUUGUAGUCCCUGAGCGGGCUGGCAAGGCGCAU
rnacentral:rRNA from 1 species